GCUUUUUUAGCAGACUUGGCCAGACUUCAAACCAGUAGCUGCUCCCCGUGAUGGAAUUCAGAAGUGUUUUAUCUGGCCAACUCUAUGUUAGCUCUUCAUCUGAACCGCUCCAGACACAGCGCGUUGCCCCAUACUCGAGAAGUCCCACUGCUCCAGCCUACAACACUCAACCCCCACCUGCUUAUCUACACCAGCGUGUCUGGGUGCCCCCGACUCUAGGUCUCCCAGCCUUAGGACACGGUAAGGGAACUUUUUGGUGAAAGUUUUGAAGGGGUGAAGGUAAUGGGCUCAAGUUCAAGGAGAAUGGACCAUCUUCUUAACGUAACCAAGCAACUGAGUGAGAGUUAAGAAGGGUGAUGUGAGGUUAUCACGAAAGAGAGGCUAGGGGAGUGGCUUGGUGGUAUAGAACCCAUGCUUAGCAUGCACAAGGCACUAGGUUCCAUCCUCAGCGUCAUAAAUACGUGAACGAACUUGGCAGUUCUGUUCCACGAACCUGCCCAGUGAGCUUUCUGAGUUUUCAGCGCUGCCGCUUGCUUGAGAGUCUAAGCCUUCUACAUCACCAGAAAAGAGGAUGCGCCCUGCCCCAAGCCCUGCACAAAGGCAGCCAGUUUCCCUCUUUGUGGAGCAGGGCAUGACGGUAAAUCUCUCUCCUAAUCCCAGAUGCAGAGGCUUUCCUUUCCUGAAAAUUCCAAUGGAGGUGUCCCUACAUUCACUCUACUAGGAUGCAGACAAUGUACAUAAACAAGGCAUUUUCUGAGACUUAACUUGAAAUUCAAAGUCAAGACUGCAGUACAAGUGGGAUUCCAUGUCACACGUCCUUGACCUUGCAGGGCAGACAAGAGUGAAGGCUUCAUGCUCAGUGGAUCAUAUAAGAAGACAACUUAAGAAGGAAUUCAGGGACAGUGAAAGUCCCUUUAAAGAGAUUCCUGGAAAAGUUUCUAGACCUAACUUCUCUGAGAAGUUAUAAGGGAAUCCUUAUUUGUUAAAAAUCAGCUCUGUUUAAAAAUAUCAACAACAAUAAAUGUUUAAGAUCAAUGGUUCUCAAA